rnacentral:lncRNA from 1 species
AUUUCCAAAUAAUUCAAGUCAAUUUGAAUAUUCCUCCAAUGACUUCAAAUGUCUAAAAAAAUAUAUAUUUACCUUGUUUCUCUUUCGCACCUUAUCACAUUAUUUUUGUAUGACCAAGAGUCCAACAGAAGAGUUAAAAAUGUCUUUUUAAGAAAGAGUCAAUGAUAGAAAUUUGUAUGGCCAACAAAUAAUGUUCCUAGUUUUUCUUUCUCCUGUUAAAAUCAUGAUAGGGAUUCAUAUGACCAGGAAAAAAAAAUCUUAGGGUAAAUUACACUUUUGGUCCUCAAAUUAUAAUGUUUGUGACAUUUUGAUUUUCAAAGUUUAAUUUAUGAUAACUUCUGGUUAAAACUUUAUAAAUCAUUACAAUCAAACUACAGAAUCUAAAUUACUUGUCUAAGUAUUAACGUAUUGCCGUUGUGGACGUAACGUGACAUCUUGCUUAUUGUCCUGUCAUCAUUCAUAACAAUAUCACAUCAUUUGCAUAUUUGCGACACAUUAAUAUUUAUUCAACUAAAUUGGGAUGUGGAGUUUGAUUGCAACAACUUAGAUAAUUCGAGUGACACAUUGUAACAAAUUAAAGUUUGAGGAUCAAAUCGUAUAGCGUGUCUCAUGGUUUGAGA